GCACUGCCCGGUAGCUAAAUGCGGAAGAGAUAAGUGCUGAAAGCAUCUAAGCACGAAACUUGCCCCGAGAUGAGUUCUCCCUGAGACUUAAAGUCUCCUGAAGGAACGUUGAAGACGACGACGUUGAUAGGCCGGGUGUGUAAGCGCAGCGAUGCGUUGAGCUAACCGGUACUAAUGAACCGUGAGGCUUAACCUUACAACGCCGAAG
rnacentral:rRNA from 2 species